GAAUUGAAACUUCCCAUUGGCUGAAAGUGUAGGUGUGUCGCUGUCAGAUGCGGAAGUAGGGCGGGCUUUGGCGCAGCGCCUUUGCCGUCGUCACCUCCGGCGGGCGGGAGCCUCAGCGGACGUCUCUGGCUUUUUGUACGGAUGUGCUGGUCCCCUUUUUUUUGACAGCAGGCGGGCAGGCAGGCAGGCAGGCAGGGGGGAAACUAGGAGGACGUAGGCGGGCUCUGCUGCUAUCUCCCUGCGGCUCUGUCUCCCUUAUUGAGCCGUUUCUCGUCCACAGACACCCCGGCGACAUGCUGGUUCCGGUUGGCGUUUCCUCCUUUGAGCCUGAGGAGUGAGCUCGCGGGCCGACCCUGCGCCACUCCCUCACGACGCGGCCAUGGUCGACGUUGAGAGUCACUACCGUCCGCCUUCGCCCCUGGAGGACUCCAUGCUGGGAAGCCCGCUAUGCGCCGAUGACGACUUCAUUGGCGGCAUGGAGGAGCUCCACGACAUCUCGCAGUCCAUCGACAGCAGUACCCUCAGCUCCUACGACGCCCCCGAGUACCACUCGUCCAGCAACGGCUCAGACGGCUCCACCGUCUUUGGUGAGGAAUGUAUUCAUGGUCCAUCCACUCUAUUUCUUAUACGCAUGCGGCUCUUGAGCCGCGGGUUGCCGACCCCCGCACUCUAACCCUUCCACUUCCAUCACUUCUAACUUCAUUUUGCACUUGAGACGCUCUUCCAAAUUUUCCACGGU